rnacentral:rRNA from 1 species
AGUGAACGCUGGCGGUAGGCCUAACACAUGCAAGUCGAACGGCAGCACAGUAAGAGCUUGCUCUUACGGGUGGCGAGUGGCGGACGGGUGAGGAAUACAUCGCAAUCUACUUUUUCGUGGGGGAUAACGUAGGGAAACAUACGCUAAUACCGCAUACGACCUACGGGUGAAAGCAGGGGAUCUUCGGACCUUGCGCGAUUGAAUGAGCCGAUGUCGGAUUAGCUAGUUGGCGGGGUAAAGGCCCACCAAGGCGACGAUCCGUGGCUGGUCUGAGAGGAUGAUCAGCCACACUGGAACUGAGACACGGUCCAGACUCCUACGGGAGGCAGCAGUGGGGAAUAUUGGACAAUGGGCGCAAGCCUGAUCCAGCCAUACCGCGUGGGUGAAGAAGGCCUUCGGGUUGUAAAGCCCUUUUGUUGGGAAAGAAAAGCAGCAGGUUAAUACCCCGCUGUUCUGACGGUACCCAAAGAAUAAGCACCGGCUAACUUCGUG